GGCUAUGUGGACACACUUCCAACCCAGAAAGAUACUCAGAAAGAUACUUGACAACAAAUUACUUGUAGCCAAACUGUUUGUAACUAGACAAUCUCAAGGACAGAUGUGCUAAAUAGUGAACUUAACCUUACCUAUAAAAGAGACAGUAACUCAAUUUUUGGCUAAGAAUUACUGUCAGCUGGCAGAUAACCAGUGGAACUAUAAAUAUUCCUAGAGAAAGCUUCAGGAGGCCACAUCUGAGUUCAACCUGAAGGCAAGGCGUUUUCUUGUCUUCUUGUUUUGGUUUGUUUUUUGUCUCCACAAUAAACAGUAUAAUAUCUUUUGCCCAGCCAGAAUAACUUUGUUACUCUAUACUGAGAUUUCAAUAAGGUGAAAAGGAAGGAAGAAGAGCUGCAGGAGACAUUUAAGGAUAAGUAGUCUGGUAUGGUUGGAGAGAAAACUGGAAAUGAGAUUCAAGAAUUCUAGGAUCAAAUCAUAAAGUCUUGGUCAAGAGUCCAGGUUUUAUUCUGUAGUCAAUGGAAGCCUUUUAAAGAUGCACAGCAGGAAAGCAACAUUCCGGUGUCUCACAAAAGUCACUCUGGAAGGAAAGUGCAAACUGGAUUACAGGAGAGAAAGAUUGGAUGCAGGGAGAGUAGUAAGGGAGUUGAAAUAGUCCAGGUAAAAUCCAGGGAAGUGACAAUGGGAUGGAGAAAAGGAAGAAAAGAUGGACAAUAAGGAAAUACAUGGAGAGAGAGAGCGAUCAUAAAUGACCCCAAGAUUUCUGACUCCUUCUGCGCUGUUAACCAGAGUAGGGAGCACAGUGAGAGGAGUACAUUUGCUUGUCAGGAGCAGAAAGGCAUCCAGACUGGGACAUCCAGAUGACAUCUCACACCAUAUCCAUUCCUACAUUUUCAAACGUCAUCAAGCCAUUUCCACCUGCUGUCACCUGUAAGGAAAGAAGGGUCUCCAUACUACAAAAGGCAAGGAAUGAACAAAGGAAUCGCCUUUCUUCUUUUUCUUUUCCUCCUUCUCUUCAUUUUGCCC
rnacentral:lncRNA from 1 species